AAACUUGGAUGUAAACAACAACAAUUAAAAUAAUGCCGCACAUAUUGUUACAAUGUUUCACGUAAACCCUGGAACGCUGCUGUACUUUCUCUUCCAAGUAUUUCAACACUGUCAGUACAAUACUAUGGUACUGAAAAUGCGUGUUGACUGACAGAGUCGUGUAGAAAUGCAUGUUUGAAAAGCAGGCAGUGCAUAGGUCACACGGCUUUGGUAUCGUUUGAGUUUGGAGUGCAGUAGUACAGUUGUGAUCCAAACAGAAAAAGUGAGUUUCUGUUUAAUUUCCUGGAUUGUUUGAAGUGGGUAUUUGAUAACCUAUUGUGUAUGCAAUAUGCCAUUUUAACAGUCCUGGAGCCUGGAGUUCUGCUCUGCCAUAACACAGCACAUGAAGCUGACAGCAGGGUGGAAUUGGACAUGCUGCUCACCUUAUGCUCUUUAAUUGUGCUCAGCAGAGACCAAAUCUAAGGACAGAGGUAGUUUUGUUUUCACGCUAAUUUAAUCCCUGGCUACUCUACUGGGACUGCCACCAACUAAAGUGGAAUAGUGUUUUAUGAUGAUAAUCUGUUCAAUGAGAAAUUGGCAAAAUGCUAAGUGUUAUAUGAGCUAUUGAAGAGCAAGGGAAAAUGGUAUGUCGUGUUUCUAUUGACCUAUCCCUGAUUUUAACAUACGACUAGAUAAGAAAAGUCCUUUACACCCCUACCAGUCCUUGACAGUAACUCAAAUUGAUACUUCCUGUUCAGGAUCAUUGUUUGCUUCAUUUCCUUACAGUGUUUUGCAUGAAGAGCUUAAUCUUUAGCAACAAAACAUAGAGAUGAUCAGAUUUUUAUAAAAGUCCAUUGUGUUUAACAAUAGUGUUAUUAAUUUUAAACUUCUUGCCUGUAUAUGGGAAUUGUAUGUUCAAAUAUCCAGCUUGUAUCCAGAUACAAAAAAUAAGCAUGCAUUUCUACUAGGACAAUAAUAAUAUUCACUUACUCUUUCUUUUCUCCAUCUUCACAGAGCAUACAGCCCUACUUUGGGAACUACAUCUAUGCCUAAAUUUAAAUAAUUAAAUCCAAUGUAGUCAUCAGAGUUUAUGAAAAAGAGAAUUGUAUGUGUAUAUAUAGAUAUUUCCCAAAACAUUAAAUCGCUUCUAUUUCUUCUUGUUGGGAAAAGCCAUUUUCUUCAAAUGAGUCAGCUUUGGACUAAGGCCAAGCAAGAGAACUUUACCCCCACUGACAACAGAUUUAGAAUUUCUCACUACAGUGCCCUGCAUUUGUGUCCUACACUGUGUCUACAAUAAAAUUACUAAUUUUUUUUAAUCUCUUGCAAAUGGUUGAUCAUUCAUGUCAUAUACUACAUAAAAUAUCCUUAUGAUAAUUAAUGUGACUAACUCUCUGCAACUGAUGCCCUCUAUCAUUAACUCUUCAAGGCACUUUCUUAUGUCAAUUAUCACAACUUUUUAAUGUGAAAAUAUAUUUUGGAAAUGUUUACUGCAAAUUGCCCAAUGCAUUUAUUAAUGCAGCAAAGUAAAAGAUAGGUGUGAGAAUUUGUAAUAGCUGUUGCUCAGAUGGUGAAUCUCCCAUAGUUGUUAACAUUAGUUGCAAUGUAAGAUGCUGUUUCACUUACAGUUUUAGCUAUCAAAAUAAAAGCCUAUCCAAAGUCUGCUGAAACUACAGCUAGCUGGAGCAUAACUACUGGAGGCAUUUUGCACAGACAAGAUAUAUCUAUCUAUACAAAUUAAGAAAAUACCAGGAGUUAUCCUAGGGAUCUAAAUGUGCUAUAAAUAUCAAGACAGUAUUUAGAUUACAGCUCCAGCAGAGUCCCCAGCAAUAUUAAUUCCCAGAGAUGAUAUCCCAGUUACCAAAUAAUUACAGAUUAGGUGCACAAAGUACAAAAUACAGAGUUACAUAAUGAGUCUUUCAAGUGAGACUAUGCAUCUGAUCCCACUGAAAAUUCAAACAAAUCCUUUAUACACACUUUCAUGCUGGACAUCAAGCCCAAACUCCUCUCAUUUUAAUUACUAUUUUUGUAUUUGAGCACUAGUAAAUACUGCAACAAUACACAGCUAAAUUGAAAGAACAUUUGGUGAAACAGUCACCUUUAUGUUUGUCUCUCAGGAGUUAAGUGGUCUGAACAAUUACUACAUAGUUUCUUCUGAGUGACAGGGUUUAAUUGCUGCUUUUCCCUAUUCUUACUACUGUUGUUCAUUAUGAUUGCAUGUUUUCACUUUUCCAGGAAAUAGAUUGAAAGGCCUCUGGGGUAAGCACUUCUGCUUAUUAAAUGCUCAGGUAGUGACUUGAAUGGUGGAUUUCAAAUUGAUUUGAAGUGGAACUUCUGGGCAUGAUUGCAAUACAAAUAUUAAAUAAUAAUUAGUGGAAGUAAUAACAACCUGAAAGACACAAAAAAGCAAUAAGUAAUUUUUUUCUUUAACAAGUAUAUAUUGAAGUUUAUUUUAAGUAUCCCAUAAUUUAAAUUUGCCAAAAUAUCUUACUGUAGCAUUUUCCGAAUUUAUGUGGUUCACAACUGGAUGAUACUACAUUUAUGCUGGUGAAAUUAACACAAAACUGGUAUAAUUCAGUGUCAAUUAAGUUUUAGAAGUGUGUUGCUAUAACUAAAUGCAUAAUGUGUAUCUGCCAUAUUUGAAGAGGAACUAAGUACACAACUUCUGUUCAGUCUAACUUCAGUACAAUUAUACACUGGCUAAAUACACCAUACAAAUAAGUUUUCUCAGUAUUUGGUUGCUUAGUUUCUCAAACAGUAAAAUCAAAGUGAUGAAUUAUUAUGCAAGUACCAAUAUGGUAACACCCCAAACUAGCUUUUAUAUUCAGUGUUCUACACAUGGUUAGGAAUGUUUUGGAAUUAUUUUUAACCAUUAUAUUGUGACUUUUUGUUUGCAUUUAUCUUCCUUGGUUAGCAUGGGAGAGUUGGUGAAUUCUGAGGAACACUUGGGACAUGGAAGAGCAUUUCAUAUGGAGGAGAAAAGACAAAAAGGUGGUGUUAAGGUUUCAUCUACUGUUUUCCUCCAUAAAAGGAUAUUUUUAUACAUUUUUACAUGGCAGAAACCAUCUUGAAUUAAGCUCCUGCACAACCAAGAGACCUUUGGGAGAGAAAUCCUCUAAGAUGUGAAUAUUCAUAAACUGCUUUUUAAGACAUUCAAAUGUAAAUGGAACUGUUAUAUAUAUAGACACAAAAGCUAUUUGAAUCAAACAUAUGUCUAGGAAAAGUAAGUAAUGUGUUAGAAAGUCAGGUAAUUUAACAGGCAUGCUACUGUCACAGAGAUUUAAAAUAUAAGGACCUGCUUUUUCAAAUGCAGAGAUAUUUUUCAUAGAAGGAAGGUUAUUGCCUUCAAUGAUGUUGCUAAUCGAAAUAAAAUACUACACCUGUCUCUAGAUCCAUUACCUAAAGGCUUGUUUACACUGAAUCAGAAAAGUACACUAACCCUGUGUACAUUGAAACACCUUAAUUCCAUGCUUUAGUAUGGAAUUUCAGUUUUAGUAUGUACUCACUGUUGAGAUGAGGUAAAACCUAUAUACCCAUCUGUCACUUAUUAAAUGAGGCACGUAUAAUGUUUUUCUGAGCUACUGCCUUCCUGCCUUUCCAAAGCUGAGAAUAUGCUGAAAUGAUUAGGAAACUAAGAAAGGCCCUACUUGCCCCUGAACUCACUUCCUCAUUACAACAUUAAAGGCUCACAACACAGCACAGCAAGCCAUUUUCAUCUCCUUGCUCAGCAGAAAUCAAAUACAGAGCUUCUGAGGGCACUUACAGACCCUCACAACAAACAGCCUCCUCAUAUUGUGGAAGGAGCUUAGACCUUGAAGACCACAAUGUCUGGCUGCCAUAGGAGCUCACAGCACUUGUUCUGCUGUUCUAUUGCCAUGCCAAAUAAAAUAUCAUAAUCUACUUCCAAGAACAAAAACAGAUUAGCAGCAAUCCUGCAUUUAGUUGCAUACAUAAAGAGAAGCCUGACUGGAUUUUGUCAGGGAAAGAUGUACAAAAGUCAGUUUGCUGUAGGCAGUGCCAAUGCCAGUGUACACAGUGAGGACUCAAGGCUGAUAUGUGAUGUGACAUGUCAACAAGGCUCAGAUAAAAUCCAGGACCAUUUUGUCUGAGUGCCUAAGUGUCUUGGCUGGAUACAUGCAAAGAGAGCAGAGCAAGUGUUCAAUUUGCCCAUCUUAUGGACUACUUGUGCUGGCAGUCUUGAGAAGGGAACAUCAGCCAGUAGAUCUUGUUUUGCCUGGUUAAAAUGCAAUUAAUGUGAAAAGCUAUGAAAGAGGUAGUAGCCAAAGGGGUAUGACUUGCAGUGUUACUUGUAGGCAUUUAAAACUCCUCUGCCCCUAACAACCAGCUGCAGUCUGCAGAUCUCCUUUCCCUAACUGCCCAGUUGCCUUAAUUUGUACAUUCCAAACAGUAACCAUACCAGAAGUUUGAAGAGCUAGUUAAAAAUGAUGAUGUCUCAGCAAAUGCAAUAGUCACUCUCAGAUGUUUAGUGGAAAACACUCCUUUCUUUCCCUUGCUCUCCUCCCCCACAAUACACAUUUUCUCCUUCCUCCCCUCCCUGUCAACUAUUUGAUGUUAGAAGGGAAAAGUCCUGAAAAUCUCAGUAGUGCAGCAAACAUGUCAAAGUUCUCCACCAUCAUCCCUCACCAAUAAAAGAAGAGGCAUGACUCUCUUCUUCACUGUUAGCUACUGAAAUUUUAAAUAACCAAGCUUCACUGCAAAAAGAGCAUUUCUUAGGGGAAUAAAAACUGAGUUUAAGAUACCAAAAUUAUUAUUGUAUAGCUGUCUUGUCCCUUAUUCCAACAUUGAAAGCAGUGACUCUGCUGCCAGAGAUUAGACUGUUUCUGUUCAACUACAUAUAGAAAAUGUCCUGUGAAUCCUUUCUUUCCAUAAUGAUUACAUGAAGAGGGAAAUCACCCAGAGCCAGUGCUGCAUCAGUGCUGCAUUCUCUCUCCUAUUUAUGGGACUGCAAUAAAAAGGAGAUUGAUUAGCUGCUAAUGAAUACUGAAGACCUUCCUGGAUCUGAAUGAAGUAGUUCAGCUGUCAUUCAGAGAACGAAUGCCUUUGAACGGUGAAAAGCAGAGUGAGAAACAGAGGUCUCCCGUGAAGAAGAGUGCUGCCUUGGAAAUAGAUCAGUCAGUCCCAGCAGACCACUGUGCAAUGAAUGGAGAAGAGGCCAGUUUUACCACAUCCAAAUAUCAUGCAGGGGUCCCAAUAGUUGUUUUAUUUUCUUGUGUGUGAAGAAGAUAAAAGUCCUGGCAAAUUUCAGUUAUGCUGCCUGUGCAUAUAGGCUUCUGGAGAUGCAGAUAUUAGGGUUUUUUGUAAUGGAAGAAUCAGCACUCUGAAAACUGUAGGAGUGAUCCUUUAGGAAAGAAAUGUAAGUACAGAUUCUACUAAGACGGCUACAAUUUAGGGAGAAGCUGCUGACAUUGAGAAAUAUGAGGAAUAAUACUUAGAAAGUAAUACCUGUUGGUCACUACAGAGGAAAUGGAUGUGAGCAGUUAGUGUGUGCUCUUAAGUUAAUGUACAACUGUGAAGAAAUGAAGGAUAUAAAUGAAAAUAAAUAUUAUCAAGUAGAACAGAAGGAUAUUCAGUGAUCUUAGUCUUGGGAAAACAGGUAAGCUGAAAAAGGAAAUGAAAUUAUAUGAACUAAUUUUCAAAACUAGUAUAGUCAUAUAUGUCUGGGAAAACAUGGGCAUUCUCAUUCUGCAGAGUAGGCAGGGAUAUGCAGUUGGGGUGAACACCAUGUUAGACAUAAGGCUGCCAUGUCCAUGCUUUCUUACCACAGUGCAAUAGUCACACCACCCCUUCUGCAACUGUUUCAUCAUCUGUUUCUCUCUUUGGUAUAACUUGCUUUUUUCUCCUAGGGCUUCAUUGAAGAGCAGAAGUGACAGUCUGAUGGAAAAUGAGGUAAGGACAACCAAAGGAGUGGGAAAAGUCAUUAAGUCUGUGGUGAAGAUGACUAUGAAGGAGAGGGUGACUAGUAAGUGGAAGAACAGAGGGGAGGGAAGGGUAAGGAGAGGACAGGAGAAGUAGGUAAAAUAACCAAUUUUGACCCACCACACCAUUCCAAAAAGAAAACUGCAGACCUACACAAAUAUCAUACUUAAUUAGUCAAUAAAUACAUAACAUCAGAUCUCUGGAACUUCUGGCAAAUGAUUUAAACUUGAUUUCAGUACUAUUCUGUUUUCGGCCUUACAAUACUCUACCAGAGCCUUGUGGUUGUUUACAGCCACUUGAGGAUUAAAGACUGAAAUGAAUUACAGACUUUUGAACAAAAGGCUAGAACCUAGAGCCAGUAACUGUAUUUUGGCAUUUAAUUCCAUUUAUUUUAGGGGAUUAAGGUUCCUAAAUACUUCCUCUGGUGUGAGCUGGAUGUGUUAUUUACAGAAAGUACAGUUACAAUGGAGGCUUUAGGACUCUACUAAUUUAUGCCAGUUGACAUAAUUCUCAUCACAGAUGUAGGAAAAAUCCACUGUGACAGUAUGACAGGGCAGUAAAUGUGGCUGAUCUAAAUAAAGGAUAUUUUGCUUGUAUUUAAUGAGAUAUACUCAGACAUACUAUUCACCCAAUGCUCAGGUUAAAAAAUUAAACUGGGAUAUACUUUAGUUGUUUUCUAAUGCUUGAAAUUAAUUAGCCAGCUGUUAGAUAUGUUGAGGCAUCCAAAUGAAUCAUAUUGCAUACAAUUUUUUUAUGUAACUGGCAGCCUUUUAUAUAACUGAAGUAUUAGACAUUUUGUAAGUAUAUGUAUAUGCUUGUAAUUUUGAAUGUUUUGUACACUUCUUUCAUUUUCCUUUACUGACUUCUGAAUCAUAAAAGAUUGAGUUUCAGUUCAUGUGAUCGUUGCUGUCUAAAUCACAUAAAUUCUAAACAGAGAAAGUAUUAUAUAUAUAGAGAGAGAGGCUAGAUGUUUUAAGAAAAAAAUGCUUUGCAAAUACUCUUUUUUGUUGUUUUUUAUUUGUUUGUGGUUUCUUUUGUUUGUUUUGUUUUUUAAGAAACAUUUUCAUAUAUAUUGAAGCUGACCAUUUUUAAAGAACAAUAUCUUUUUGAAGAAGGCUGCUAUAUAGCCAAGAUCAUUGUAAAAUCCAUCUUUUAUGAAUUCUCUGCUUUGACAUUCACCACAAGUUAAACUUUGUUGAUAAAAAUAUUAAAAGAGUGGAGAAGUCACACUGCAGUUAAAAAAUACAUGGAACAGUUUACAGUUGUCUUCUAAGCUUCCAAUUUUCCAUUGAUAGCAAUUUAUGUAACCGAAGCCUAGGUUAAAAUGAAUUCCUUAUGCUGUUCGGGGAGUAAUAACUCACAGAAAUAGUUUGCUGUUUUUCUCUCCCACACCCAGAUAUUUUUGUGUAGAUUUCAGAUUUCAGUUACAAAACAUAGCAUAGCAUAACAUAACAUAACAUAACAUAACAUAACAUAACAUAACAUAACAUAACAUAACAUAACAUAACCACAGCAGUGAUAAAAUGAGCUUGAUUUAACCCCAUGUAAAUAUAACCUGUCCCUGUCCUUUUAUUUUCUGCAAUACACACCAUUACUUUCCAGAUGGUAUAUCCCAUAGUAAAGAACACAAGACAGACUUCUAAUCUAUAUACAGAAUGAAAACUAGUUUGAGUACAAAUACAGCAUUUCUAAUAACACAGUUGUGUGAGGUCAAUGUUCUGUUUAUCUACAGUACAAGAUGUUACUUUACAAAAAGUGAAAGACAGUUUUACAUGUCAAGUGAUCACAGAAAAUUGUUAGUGCUGCGCAGCAGUUUGAGAGCACAGGGGAAGAGAGGCAAAGGCAGAAGUUUAAAACCUACCAGUGCAGUAAAUGCAAUAGAACAAAGACUGAAGAUAGCCUUUCAAGGCCCUGCAAGCAGUCCUAACAGCUCCUGGGCACAGCCCUCAUUGUACUCAAAAAUUAGUGUUUGGAGUUGAAAUGAAGCACUCUGACACCAGUUCAGGACAAUGGAGACUUUUAAGGGCAACAGUAGAUAAGACAUAGAUAAAGAGACAUGGAUAAAGCUCCUUCCAUGGGCAUACAGGUUUCUGGGUACAGCUCUACUGAGAACUGAUCACACUGGAUCGCUGACAGCAUGACAGAAGGGCUAACUUGUAAUUUAAGCAAUUUCCAUAAGAAGUCAAGCAAACCCAUGUAAUUCCUAAGGAAUAAGAGAGAAAGGAAAGACAAACAUGUCAAACUUAAUCCACACUUUCACCAAGGACUAAACUGGUUAAGUUAUAAAAAGCCAUCCUGGACCAGAAGGUCCUUCAGGUUAAGGGGUACUGAUGCAUGUCUCCAGCAGAGCAAAGUGCAUAGAGAAAGCAAAAUGAAGGAAAAAAGAAGCUGAUUUGCCAGUAAGUGUGAUUAUCUUCAGAGGUGUUCUUUUUUCUGUGCAGAUUCACACCUGUUGAAUCUUUUCCUUGUACAUAAAGUUCCAUUAGACAUGGUGAAGGGGCCUAUGGCUGGGCUUAUCCAGGGUUUACCAUGCUUGCUGUAGAAACAGAUAAGACAUAAACACACUUGGGCAAAACCACAUUAAUAAUGUGAGCAUGUAUCUAUAACACCCCUCAACUUCUGAUUAUUUUUCUUAUCUGUAGAGAAUGUGAACAUUUUUGUAUAAAAAUAAAAUUUAAAUGUAAGAGAAAAAUGCUAUUAAUAUUAUUAUGUUUAAUUGCACUAUAUUAAUUAAUAUUUUACAGAUAGCUGAUUUAAGCCCUGUUAUCUCUGUGGGUCUUAAUUCUGAAUUUUCAAUGGGAUGAAAGUCUUACUUCUUGACUAAGCUUAAAGUACAAACCCACACUUUAAAAAAUUUACCAAGGUGAAUAAAAUGUAUUCCUCUCGGUGCAUGCUCUUAAAACACAAUAUGUGCUUUGAGACAUUUCUCAUUAAUGCUUUAGGCGAAACCUCUUCCAUGUUUAUAUAAUCAAAUAGUUGCAAAAUCCUUCUGUGACUAACAAUAUUUGCAACAUGUUACACAUUAUGUGGCUGUAAAAUUCCAACUAGAUUUCUGACAUUUUGUCAGAUUUUAGUAGUAACUUAUCUUGAAUGUUGGACCAUAAGUGGUUCUUAAUAAAUAAAGAAAUUAAUA